rnacentral:rRNA from 1 species
GACGAACGCUGGCGGCGUGCUUAACACAUGCAAGUCGAACGGUAAGGCCCUUCGGGGUACACGAGUGGCGAACGGGUGAGUAACACGUGGGUGAUCUGCCCUGCACUUCGGGAUAAGCCUGGGAAACUGGGUCUAAUACCGGAUAGGACCACUGCCUGCAUGGGUGGUGGUGGAAAGCUUUUGCGGUGUGGGAUGGGCCCGCGGCCUAUCAGCUUGUUGGUGGGGUGAUGGCCUACCAAGGCGACGACGGGUAGCCGGCCUGAGAGGGUGACCGGCCAAACUGGGACUGGGGUACGGGCCAGACUCCUACGGGAGGCAGCGGUGGGGAAUAUUGCACAAUGGGCGCAAGCCUGAUGCAGCGACGCCGCGUGAGGGAUGACGGCCUUCGGGUUGUAAACCUCUUUCAGCACCGACGAAGCGCAAGUGACGGUAGGUGCAGAAGAAGGACCGGCCAACUACGUGCCAGCCGCCGCAGUAACAC